rnacentral:tRNA from 1 species
GGACAGGUAGCAAAGCGGCCAAACGCGGCGGGCUGUAAACCCGCUCCCUUAUGGGUUCGGAGGUUCGAAUCCUCCCCUGUCCACCA